CACCGGCGCCCCGAGUGGCAAUCGCGAUUAUUGGGCCUAAAGCGUCCGUAGCCGGACAGGUAAAUCCUCUGUGAAAUCGUUGCGCUUAACGUAACGGCGCGCAGGGGACACUGCCUGUCUCGAGACCGGGAGGAGUCAGAGGUAUGCCGUGGGGACUGGUAAAAUGGUAUAAUCCACGGUAGACCACCAAUGGCGAAGGCAUCUGACCAGAACGGAUCUGACGGUGAGGGACGAAAGCCAGGGGA
rnacentral:rRNA from 1 species